CCUACGGGUGGCAGCAGUGGGGAAUAUUGCACAAUGGGGGAAACCCUGAUGCAGCGACGCCGCGUGAAGGAAGAAGUCUUUCGGUAUGUAAACUUCUUUCAUCAGGGAAGAAAAUGGCGGUACCUUACUAAUAAGCACCGGCUAACUACGUGCCAGCAGCCGCUGUAAUACGGAGGGGGCAAGCGUUAUCCGGAUUUACUGGGUGUAAAGGGAGCGUAGGCGGUGCAGUAAGUCAGAAGUGAAAUCCUGGGGCUCAACUCCGGUCCUGCUUUUGAAACUGUUGAACUAGAGUGCAGGAGAGGUAAGUGGAAUUACUAGUGUAGCGGUGAAAUGCGUAGAUAUCAGGAGGAACACCAGUGGCGAAGGCGGCUUACUGGAAUGUAAAUGACGCUGAGGCUCGAAAGCGUGGGGAGCAAACAGGAUUAGAUACCCGGGUAGUC
rnacentral:rRNA from 1 species